rnacentral:rRNA from 1 species
AUUGAACGCUGGCGGCAGGCUUAACACAUGCAAGUCGAGCGAGCGGCGGACGGGUGAGUAGUGUCUGGGAAAGUGCCUGAUGGAGGGGGAUAACUACUGGAAACUGUAGCUAUUACCGCAUACCAUAAGAUGUGCCCAGAUGGGAUUAGCUAGUAGGUGGGGUAAUAGCCACCCUAGCCGACGAUCCCUAGCUGGUCUGCGAGGAUGACCAGCCACAUUGGAACUGAUACACGGUCCAGACUCCUACGGUAGGCAGCAGUGGUGAAUAUUGCACAAUGGGCGCAAGCCUGAUGCAGCCAUGCCGCGUGUGUGAAGAAGGCGUUCGGGUUGUAAAGCACGUUCAGCGAGGAGGCGUUACUCGCAGAAGAAACACCGGCUAACUCCGUGCCAGCAGCCGGGGUAAUAC